rnacentral:rRNA from 1 species
UACGUAGGGUGCAAGCGUUGUCCGGAAUUAUUGGGCGUAAAGAGCUCGUAGGCGGUUUGUCGCGUCGAAUGUGAAACCCGGGCUCAACCCGGCCUGCAGUCGAUACGGCGGACUGGAGUUCGGCAGGGAGACUGGAAUUCCUGGUGUAGCGGUGAAUGCGCAGAUAUCAGGAGGAACACCGGUGGCGAAGCGGACUCUGGCCGAUGACUGACGCUGAGAGCGAAGCGUGGAGCAACAGG